AACUCAAAUAUCUAAAUACCCAAUCUAGAAACUGUUUUUCAUAGUAAGUGUUGCUUUAUAUAGACGUUGUGCAGAUCUUUGAGAUCAUGUGCGUCACUGAAUCACUGAGCAUGUGAAAGGAAGAAGUGUCCAGGACAGAGGAAGGGACCUCGAUGGGGUUAGUAGCUGGACAUAGCUGCUACCAUUGCCUGAGAAGAGGAUGUGACAUCAGAGGUGCCUAGAUCCACCAAUCCAAAAUAAACACAACUGCUCUGCUGCAAAGGACUAUGGACCUGAGAACCAGACAACCCCAGUUCUGAGGCAUGCCCACCUCCAAUGCCCACUCUACGUAGAUUCACGAGAAGAAGGAAAAGGAGCCUCAGGACCUGCAUCACCAUGUUCAGGAACAGUUAUUACCCCUCAACUAUCAGACUCUUCAACCAGACGGGAUAACUUCACUCACCCCAUCACUGAACUGAACUCCACAAUCAAUGGACUCACUUUCAAGGACUCUUCAUCUCAUGUUCUCAAUAUUUAUUGUUAAUUUAUUUGUAUAACUUUCUUUUGUACAUUGGUUGGUCAUUUGUCCUGUUGGGGUAUGGUCUUCCAUUGAUUCUAUUAUGUUUCUUGGAUUUACUGUGUAUGCCCAUGAGAAAACUAAUCUUAGGUUUCUAUAUGGUGAUGUAAAUGUACUCUGAUAAUAUAUUUACUUUGAACUUUGAACAUUAAUUCAG